CAGUAGCCGCGGGAAUACGAAGGGGGCUAGCGUUACUCGGAAUUACUGGGCGUAAAGGGCGCGUAGGCGGCACGAUUAGUCAGGCGUGAAAUUCCUGGACUCAACCUGGGGACUGCGCUUGAUACGGUCGAGCUAGAGGAUGGAAGAGGGUCGUGGAAUUCCCAGUGUAGAGGUGAAAUUCGUAGAUAUUGGGAAGAACACCGGUGGCGAAGGCGGCGACCUGGUCCAUUACUGACGCUGAGGCGCGACAGCGUGGGGAGCAAACAGGAUUAGAUACCCGCGUAGUCCCUGUCUCUUAUAC
rnacentral:rRNA from 1 species